UGGGGAAUUUUGGACAAUGGGGGCAACCCUGAUCCAGCCAUCCCGCGUGUGCGAUGAAGGCCUUCGGGUUGUAAAGCACUUUUGGCAGGGAAGAAACAACCUGGGAUAAUACCCCGGGCGACUGACGGUACCUGCAGAAUAAGCACCGGCUAACUACGUGCCAGCAGCCGCGGUAAUACGUAGGGUGCAAGCGUUAAUCGGAAUUACUGGGCGUAAAGCGUGCGCAGGCGGUUCGGAAAGAAAGGUGUGAAAUCCCAGGGCUUAACCUUGGAACUGUACUUUUAACUACCGAGCUAGAGUACGUCAGAGGGGGGUAGAAUUCCACGUGUAGCAGUGAAAUGCGUAGAGAUGUGGAGGAAUACCGAUGGCGAAGGCAGCCCCCUGGGAUGAUACUGACGCUCAUGCACGAAAGCGUGGGGAGCAAACAGGAUUAGAUACCCUGGUAGUCCACGCCCUAAACGAUGUCAACUAGCUGUUGGGGUUUAUUAACCUUAGUAGCGCAGCUAACGCGUGAAGUUGACCGCCUGGGGAGUACGGUCGCAAGAUUAAAAC
rnacentral:rRNA from 1 species